rnacentral:rRNA from 1 species
AUUGAACGCUGGCGGCAUGCUUUACACAUGCAAGUCGGACGGCAGCACAGAGAAGCUUGCUUCUUGGGUGGCGAGUGGCGAACGGGUGAGUAACGCAUCGGAACGUACCGAGUAAUGGGGGAUAACUGUCCGAAAGGACAGCUAAUACCGCAUACGCCCUGAGGGGGAAAGCGGGGGAUCUUAGGACCUCGCGUUAUUCGAGCGGCCGAUGUCUGAUUAGCUGGUUGGCGGGGUAAAGGCCCACCAAGGCGACGAUCAGUAGCGGGUCUGAGAGGAUGAUCCGCCACACUGGGACUGAGACACGGCCCAGACUCCUACGGGAGGCAGCAGUGGGGAAUUUUGGACAAUGGGCGCAAGCCUGAUCCAGCCAUGCCGCGUGUCUGAAGAAGGCCUUCGGGUUGUAAAGGACUUUUGUCAGGGAAGAAAAGGGGCAUGUUAAUACCGUGCUCUGAUGACG